rnacentral:rRNA from 1 species
CCUACGGGUGGCAGCAGUGGGGAAUAUUGGGCAAUGGGCGCAAGCCUGACCCAGCAAAGCCGCGUGAAGGAAGAAGGCUCUCGGGUUGUAAACUUCUUUUCUCAGGGACGAAGCAAGUGACGGUACCUGAGGAAUAAGCCACGGCGAACUACGUGCACGCAGCCGCGGUAAUACGUAGGUGGCAAGCGUUAGCCGGAUUUACUGGGUGUAAAGGGCGUGUAGGCGGGAAAGCAAGUCAGAUGGGAAAACCAUGGGGUCAACCUGUGGCCUGCAUUUGAAACUGUUUUUCUUGAGUACUGGAGAGGCAGGCGGAAUUCCUGGUGUAGCGGUGAAAUGCGUAGAUAUUAGGAGGAACACCGAUGGCGAAGGCAGUCUGCUGGACAGCAACUGACGCUGAGGCGCGAAAGCGUGGGGAGCAAACAGGAUUAGAUACCCUAGUAGUC